rnacentral:lncRNA from 1 species
GCAGUCUGACUCUUCUCCAGUGCGGUGCAGUUUCAGAUGACCCAAGGAGCUGAAGGAUCUCUUUAACACUCUCAGGCCAGGUACUUUUGUGGGGUGUGAUUUUGCCAGCUGAAGGCAGUUUACAUUCGGAGUUCCGCGGACUCUUCAGAGGCUGUAAAAAUGCCGGAGUCACGAAAGCCUGCAAAGAGCUGUUGCUUGCCUUGCUGCUGCUGCUGCUACUGCCGUCCCUGCCCGUGCUGCAGCUGCUACUCCUGCUGCUGCUGCUGCUGCUUGUUGCUGAUUGUUGCGGUUGCUGGUUGCUGUUUACUGUUUGCUGCCGGCUGGAUUGCUGGAUUGCUGAUUGCCAGUCGGCGAAAUCCUGGCGAUGAAGAUCCAACUUGCCCCAAGAAACAAGACGACCCUAAGAAGUAGUCUAAUGAUUUCAAUACGCCCUUUCCCCCUCUGACCUUUCUCUCUUACCUUAUGCUGGGGGAUUGGAAGGGUGGCAGAAAAAAGAACCCAAUAAAGUAGCCAAAAGUAAA